rnacentral:misc_RNA from 1 species
GGUAGCUGCUGCUGAUUUAGGAGGGAGUGUGUUGACGGGUACGCUAGGGAACCCACUAGGUAUUUUGGCACGGCAGCUGUCCUGCACACUUCACAAGGUCAGAGACAAAUGCCCUCUUUAUCGUGUGGAUGGGAAGCCAGUUGAUCAAGAUUUAGAUCACAAGGUGGAGACUGCUUAUAAUUUGCUUUUGGAGAAGGCAAGCAAGCUUAGGCAGUUAAUGGGAGAAGUUUCUCAGGAUGUUUCUCUUGGAGCAGCACUGGAGACUUUCCGUCAGGAUUAUGAAGAUGCCGU